rnacentral:rRNA from 1 species
UACGCAGGGUGCAAGCGUUAAUCGGAAUUACUGGGCGUAAAGCGUGCGCAGGCGGUUAUGUAAGACAGUUGUGAAAUCCCCGGGCUCAACCUGGGAACUGCAUCUGUGACUGCAUAGCUAGAGUACGGUAGAGGGGGAUGGAAUUCCGCGUGUAGCAGUGAAAUGCGUAGAUAUGCGGAGGAACACCGAUGGCGAAGGCAAUCCCCUGGACCUGUACUGGCGCUCAUGCACGAAAGCGUGGGGAGCAAACAGG